UACAGAGGUCUCAAGCGUUGUUCGGAUUCAUUGGGCGUAAAGGGUGCGUAGGCGGCGCCGUAAGUCGGGGUGUGAAAUCUCGGGGCUUAACUCCGAAACUGCAUUCGAUACUGCGGUGCUUGAGGACUGGAGAGGAGACUGGGAAUUCCUGGUGUAGCGGUGGAAUGCGCAGAUAUCAGGAGGAACACCGAUAGCGAAGGCAGCUCGCUGGGACGGUACUGACGCUGAGGCGCGAAAGCGUGGGGAGCGAACAGG
rnacentral:rRNA from 1 species